rnacentral:rRNA from 1 species
AGUGAACGCUGGCGGUAGGCCUAACACAUGCAAGUCGAACGGCAGCACAGUAAGAGCUUGCUCUUACGGGUGGCGAGUGGCGGACGGGUGAGGAAUACAUCGGAAUCUACUUUUUCGUGGGGGAUAACGUAGGGAAACUUACGCUAAUACCGCAUACGACCUACGGGUGAAAGCAGGGGAUCUUCGGACCUUGCGCGAUUGAAUGAGCCGAUGUCGGAUUAGCUAGUUGGCGGGGUAAGGGCCCACCAAUGCGACGAUCCGUAGCUGGUCUGAGAGGAUGAUGAGCCACGCUGGAACGGAGACACGGUCCGGACUCCUACGGGAGGCGGCGGUGGGGAAUAUUGGACAAUGGGCGCAAGCCUGAUCCGGCCAUACCGCGUGGGUGAAGAGGGCCUUCGGGUUGUAAAGCCCUUUUGUUGGGAAAGAAAAGCAGCAGGUUGAUACGCCGCUGUUCUGACGGUACCCAAAGAAUAAGCACCGGCUAACUUCGUG